GGAGGAAGAAGAAGAAGC
rnacentral:snRNA from 1 species